GGCUCGGGAGCCUUCCAGGGGAUUUUAAUCGUCCUGGGGCAGGGGUAGGCCUAGGUCUGGCCUUGAGGUCCCCGAUUUUGAGACCUCAGGGAAGAAUUCUCAUACUUUAGAGGCCGCACACUCUCCGAGCGCGCUCGCGGGCGUUUGGGCGCCGGUGAGGGGUUUUCUCCGGGCGCGAGUGCACAAAAGGUAGCGCGAGUCUCUUCUCAGGCGACCCGGGAUAAGAGGAAAGGAGAGCGGGGUUUUCUGACUUCCAACUCAUUAGGGACCAGAGAGAAAGGCUAAUUGCUAAAACUUUUGACACUGGAAAACUUGGUUAGAUUAGUAACCAAAGAUAUCAUCAUCUUAGCAACAGGAAAUCUUGGAAAAGGUUUUCUUUCUUCAGGAUCAGACACAGUAACUGAUUGAGUGGCUCUGCCCAUCAGGAUUUGAAAACCUAAAAUCAGAAUCUACCACUUGGUUUAAGUCUGCCCUGAGCAAUCUAUUCUUUAGCAACAGGACACUUGCGUAAUAUGGGAGCAUCUUUUCUUCUUCACUUCUCCCUGAUCUUGUAAAAUGUGAUACAAUUUUUUUCAUAAUUUUUAAAGUCUACUUCAUGGGAAAUCUUGCUGCAAAUACAAUAUAAAAACUAAAAUUCAUUCCUUGAAAGAUGUGUGCAGAUGUUAAUUAUUCAUACUGCACGACUGAGGAUUUUGGAGUCAGAGAUUCACCUGCAAUAUUUGGAAUACCAGUGGAGGUCUACAUCAAUGCAGAAUUUAUACAGCAGCUGGUGCUAGUCAAAGCUAAUGAUGGAAUUUCAGUUUAAUAAAAAGACCCCCAACUGAGCACACCAUCUUGAAAAAAGUGUACUUAUCAAACAGCUUUCAAUCAGUUCAAGAGAGACACCUUAAUUGGGAAGAGGAAUAUUUGAGAGUAGUUUGUCAUUGUGCCAAUUCCAGAUCAAUAACUUCACGUCUGUGCUUUGGUAGACAUUGCUUUUGCUUUAUGGUCAUGAAGAGUUGGUUGAGAAAGAAGGGAACAUGGAAUAUCUGGUUUUAGAUCAUCCCAAACUUAUCUCAUCAAUAAAAUGUCACUUCAGGUCUGCUUAUUUGUUUGACGGGAAAGAGGUGGAACUUUAAAAAGGCCUGGAGUAACUUAGUGGAUUGAAGAGAGACCUUCUCAAAUCAGAGAUGAGGACUUUUUCACCUGCAUUUUUCAAACACAAACUUAAAAAAUUAAUAAAUUAACUUUUCAUUUCAACACCUUGAAACCUUAGAAAAUUGCAUUAUCACUGAUAAAUUAUUAAAAUAACUUUUUUCUUUUUCAGACAUAAUAAAGACCAUUUUCAUAGACCUGUUGUAUAGCUUCAAAUGGAAUAAAUAGAUAAAUGAGCUGCUUUCUAUUUUCAUUCUAGUUACAGGGGAGGAAUUUUUUUGGAUU